rnacentral:lncRNA from 1 species
CCUUUGUUGCUUAUAUAUAGUUACAUCAGUUCCAAAAGAGCAUCUGAUGCCAUUUGUUUCCUUGUUUAACUUCUACAGUACAGUCUCCUUGCUUCCCUAGUUCUCUCCUUUCUUCACAGUAUCAGUCUAUUCUCCGAAGCGGUUUGCUCCUCUAGUUUUCUCCUUUCCUCGUAUCAGUCUACUUUCCUUUAUUUGCUACUUUUGUCUGCUGGAAGCCACGAGGACUUCUCUCUUACUGCAGGUAACUCCCACAACUUAUGCUAUUUGUUUACCUCAAUCAAGGAGUCCAGGGAAUCUUUUUUCAAGAAAGGAUGUUGCAUCUUUGAUUGGUCUGCAUUCCAAGUUUCAUUUGACUUGCCUAAAAGGAAAAAAAGUUUCAUUUGUCUUGAAACCUGAUGCACCGUUAGUUUCAAGCCACAGAUUAACCUGGUCUCAAGGGACAAAAUUUUGCUCUCAAAAUGACCCAAACUCCUAGUCUCCUUUCAAUUUAUCUGUCACUCUGCCUGCCAGUAGCAAAUAACAUGUAAAGCCAACGGACUUGAGUCUGUAAAUGAUGGAAGAUAUAUACUAAAUUUCGGUAAUCAUGUGUUCAGCAAUACUCUUGUUUGGUGCUCUGAGAUGCAAGUCCACUGUGCACCCAAUAACCUCUAAAAAUACUUAAUUAUCUUGUCAUCUGGAAAAAGAUUGGAAAGUGUCUUCUAUGUUACCUUCUGACACACCCUAUUAGAUCAUGUACAGAAUUUUAUGAAUCUCUUCGUAUAUUUGCAUUCGAAACUACAAUGAUGAUUCAGUCGGAUAAAAACAUCAUUUUGCUAGUUCUCCUAUCUUUUUACACAGAAAACUGAAGCAUGACAAACGCAAGAGUUUGUAAUUAACUAAUUAUAUCAAACCAAGUGUACAACAACAGAUUACAGGAAUUAUGCGUGUUUAUCUCUAGAAGGGUUCACUCACAUUCAUUUGCCUUCAAAUCACUACACGAAAUACAACAACUCAAUACUCUCUACUGAAGUUGGAAGUUCUUUGAUGGAUCCUACAAAACAAAAAUUGUUUUUAUUUCUUGUCCUGAUCUUUCAUAUACAUUCUUUGUGAUCUGCAUCCUCAUGGAUGGAAUGGUGCAAAAUAUGUAAAGGGCAAGAUGGUGAUCAAACUUGCAGUGCUUGAACAGCUCUAAAUACACUUGACUCUGCGCUAUGAAUUAACUCUGUUGUGUGUUUUCAUUACUAACACUUGCUAUGAAAUUAUGCAGAUAUCAGAGUACUCUGUACUUCUUCUUUCGCCUUCUGAAAUGCAGGAAAAACUAUAGUGAGGUAUUGUCAAUUUGGAAGCUGAAGAAAUCAUAUAAUUGAGUGCGCUGCACUUACAUUUGAGACUUCUUUCCAUGAAUGAAGGGUUUUUAAUGCUUUCCCAGAUAACAAUGUUUGCCGAGCCAAGGUCACUCCUUCAGACAGAUCUUUAACGUGUCCGCUAACCAAGAUGGCUGCUGCUGCAUUUAGCACCUAACAGUUUCACAAGCACGAUGGAUUACAAAAUCAUGGCAAGUGAAACAUGGUAAACCUAAGGUGAAAAAUAUGUCCUAGUGUUAUUUCAUUGGUGCAAAAUUUGAUUGACAGAUUUAUUAAGACCGCUCCGAA